rnacentral:rRNA from 1 species
AGUGAACGCUGGCGGUAGGCCUAACACAUGCAAGUCGAACGGCAGCACAGUAAGAGCUUGCUCUUACGGGUGGCGAGUGGCGGACGGGUGAGGAAUACAUCGGAAUCUACUUUUUCGUGGGGGAUAACGUAGGGAAACUUACGCUAAUACCGCAUACGACCUACGGGUGAAAGCAGGGGAUCUUCGGACCUUGCGCGAUUGAAUGAGCCGAUGUCGGAUUAGCUAGUUGGCGGGGUAAAGGCCCACCAAGGCGACGAUCCGUAGCUGGUCUGAGAGGAUGAUCAGCCACACUGGAACUGAGACACGGUCCAGACUCCUACGGGAGGCAGCAGUGGGGAAUAUUGGACGAUGGGCGCGAGCCUGAUCCAGCCAUACCGCGUGGGUGAAGAAGGCCUUCGGGUUGUAAAGCCCUUUUGUUGGGAAAGAAGAGCAGCAGGUUAAUACCCCGCUGUUCUGACGGUACCCAAAGAAUAAGCACCGGCUAACUUCGUG